GACUUUUGAAUUUUUUUAAAUUGUUGGUUAAUCAGUCUCUAAAUCGAUGGUUAAUAUAUAAAUAUCCUCCGUAUUCUUUAUGAAGGAUACUUAGAAACCGAUCAUGAAAAGAAUCUUCCAAAUCUAGUGAAAUUUUAUCCGACAAAAAUGGGUGAAGAACAACAGCUUUUCUUAGUCGAAUUUUUAGUCGAGAAGGUUAAGAUUCCAGUGAUAAGGGCGAUGCAAGACGAGUUGUUGCCAGCGUGUACCUGUGUCUCUUUCCAAAUCCUCGGUUUGCCACCCGUCAACAUUUGCCAGGAAUCUUUGACCGACGGUUGCGGUUGCGAGGACGGCGACACGCAGAUCUUUAAGAAAGGGAAAUCCUGUUUGUUCGCGUUGCCAUCGAUCGUGCUACAGAGGCCAGUAACCUCGUUCCCGGUCAAGUUAUCCGUCUACAAGAAGCUACCACCUGGAGUACUACCGGACGUGAUGCUGGUCGGUUGUCACCAGAUCGAGGCGAAGGCUUUGAUAAACGCGGUACUGAGCCAGAAGGUAUUCAAGAUCGCGAAUCCAUGCCAGACGAUCAAGGACACUUUCAAGAUCACCACCGCAACGGGACAGUGCGUCGGGGCUGUCACCGUUUACAUAAGGGUGUCCUGCUUCGGCAAUAAAAUCAUCACCCAAUUCCAAGUGCCCCACAACAGGAAACCGUAUCUAUUCAAAGGCGCCGACGACAGCCCCGUUUUUCAAUGCAAGAAGAUACCUUCUUCUUGCGACACACCUGCCCCAGUGAAGUGCACCUGCACGAAGAAAUGCAUCGACGGAAGUGGCGAAUCAGCUGGAAGAACUUGCUGCCAAACCCCACUGGUCGUCGCGUCACCCUGCCCUCCUCUACCUGACAAACAACCUGACUGGGGACCACGACCCUGUUGCGCCUCUCGACAAUCCCCCCCCGGGGGACAAGGUGGGGGUUGUCCAUGCUCCUCCAAAUCACCCCAAAAAUAUCAAGAUACCGAUCCAACGGUAAAAUUCGGUGGAUGUAGCGCUGUUCAUCAGCAACCUGCUGAUGGAAAAUGUAAACCUUGUUGCGGUUCGGCACAACCGGUUCAAAAGGAUCCUUGUCCACCCUGUUGCGGUGCCUCUUCAUCCGGCUCAAAAGGCUACAAAGGGUUCAGUGAUUUAACGAGUAAAGAAACGCCCACGAAAAAGUGUGGAUGUCCUGUGAAGGAUUACAGUUGUAACUGUGGAAAGUGAAGAGAAUCUUUCCACUUGAAAAAUAAACACUUUUUCAUAGAAACAAAUUUUUGGUGAAUAUGGCAAGCACGAUAGAAACUUACAAAUCGAAUUCAAGCAUCUUGGAUCUCUACUCGACGACUUAUCCGUUUGAUAUACUGAUUAAUAUCCUCGCUGGGAACGUGCUGGUAGUUCUCGAG